rnacentral:misc_RNA from 1 species
AAAACCGAACCAAAAUUUUUAUAAUAUAAAACCGAAUCGAACCAAUUGAAUUUUAAAAUCGAACCGAUUUAGUUCGGUUCGAUUUUUUAGUUUGAGCCGAAAUCUGCUCACCCCUACUUUCUGUUCAUGAAUAAUGAUUUAGGAUCUUGUAUUUGAUCAGAAUUCAAUUUAAGGUGAGGCAAUGAUAUUAGUAAUGAGGCCAAUACCUGAUUUUUCUGCAUUUCCAUAAU